rnacentral:rRNA from 1 species
GGGGGGAAGAAAAAAAGAAAAAANGAAAAAAAAGGAAGAAAGAGAGGGGGGGGGGGGGGGAGGGGGGGGGGGGGGAGAGGGGGGGAAGGAGGGGGGAAGGGGAAAAAAAAAAAGAAGAAAAGAAAAGGAGGAGAAAAGAAGGAGAGGAAGAGGAGAGAAAAAGAGAAAGAGAAAGAGGGAGGGGGAGAGAAGGGGGGNNAGGGAAAGAAANNAGGGGGGGAGGGGGGGAGAAAGAAAGAAAAGGGGGAAGGGAAAAAAAAAAAGAAAAAGAAAAAAAAAGGGGGGGGGGGGGGGAAGGGGGGGGGGAAAAAAAAAAAAAAAGGAAAGGAAGAGAAAAAAAAAAAAAAAAAAAAAAGGGGGGAGGNAANGGGGGGGGGGGAGGGGAGGGGAAAAAANAAGGAGNNAAAAGAGAAAGGAAAAAAGAAAAAAGGGGGAAGAAGGAAAAAAAAAAGAAAANGGAAAGAGGAGAAAGAAAAGAGGAAGGNAGAAAAAGGGGGAGGAAAAAAAAAGGGGGGGGAAAGGGAGGGGGGGAGAAGAGAGGGGGAAAGAAGAAANGGAAGGAAGGGGANGAAGGAGGGGGAGNGANNNNAGNNNNNANGANGNNGNNNNGUUUUUAGAGUUUGUUUAUUCGCUCAGGAUGAACGCUGGCGGCGUGCCUAAUACAUGCAAGUCGAGCGAACGGACGAGAAGCUUGCUUCUCUGAUGUUAGCGGCGGACGGGUGAGUAACACGUGGAUAACCUACCUAUAAGACUGGGAUAACUUCGGGAAACCGGAGCUAAUACCGGAUAAUAUUUUGAACCGCAUGGUUCAAAAGUGAAAGACGGUCUUGCUGUCACUUAUAGAUGGAUCCGCGCUGCAUUAGCUAGUUGGUAAGGUAACGGCUUACCAAGGCAACGAUGCAUAGCCGACCUGAGAGGGUGAUCGGCCACACUGGAACUGAGACACGGUCCAGACUCCUACGGGAGGCAGCAGUAGGGAAUCUUCCGCAAUGGGCGAAAGCCUGACGGAGCAACGCCGCGUGAGUGAUGAAGGUCUUCGGAUCGUAAAACUCUGUUAUUAGGGAAGAACAUAUGUGUAAGUAACUGUGCACAUCUUGACGGUACCUAAUCAGAAAGCCACGGCUAACUACGUGCCAGCAGCCGCGGUAAUACGUAGGUGGCAAGCGUUAUCCGGAAUUAUUGGGCGUAAAGCGCGCGUAGGCGGUUUUUUAAGUCUGAUGUGAAAGCCCACGGCUCAACCGUGGAGGGUCAUUGGAAACUGGAAAACUUGAGUGCAGAAGAGGAAAGUGGAAUUCCAUGUGUAGCGGUGAAAUGCGCAGAGAUAUGGAGGAACACCAGUGGCGAAGGCGACUUUCUGGUCUGUAACUGACGCUGAUGGCGAAAAGGACGG